GCCCAAAGCCACCAUCUCUUCCAUCUCCCUCAUCAGCACCCCAAUACCACCAAAGUAUUGGUUAUUCUACCACGAUGAGAGAGGAUUGGACAGCCUCUACUUGACCACUGUAGAAUUUCAUGUUGCAACACUUUGCAUCUGUGGCAUUCAGGACCAAGACCUUAGUAGGAGGUGUCUCCUGGGGAAAGAAACUAAGGGACUCAGGAGAGCUGGAAGCUAGCAGAGCAGAGAAAGAAAGCAAGAGCACCAUGUUUCAUAGAAGACAGACAAACUGGAGGCAGUUCAGAAGAGAGGAACAGACAGGAUAAAAAGUUUGGAAAAAUAAGCCCUGUAUAGAAAGAUAAAGGGAAUGGGGCAAGGCAACCCAACUGAAGAGAACAGAAGGCUGAGGAGAGACAAGAUAAAUGUUUACUCACAGGAUUUUGAAGGAUUCCAGCACGGCUUUAUUGACGGUCCCCACUCCUUUUGCCUGCAGCUCAUCCACCAACUGCUUAAAGUGCUAGCAUGAAGUGAGAAACACAUGGAGAUAUGAGAUGCGGACAGAAGGAAGGCAGAAUUCUCAGGACAGGGGAGAGAAGGGUGACACAAGGCCAAAGAAACCCUGUAUUUCAGGGCACAUGACUACUCUAGAUGGCUGGGCAAUCUUCCACUAUAGCUUCUACAGCUGUGAUAGUUAAUAGGCUACUCCAAUAACAGUUCUAUCAUGGGGCACUCAUGUUCGCAUAUGUGCUGUACUAUAAGCUGCUGCACAGCACGUUCACAAAUAACUGCCAGAAAUAGCAGCACUUCUCUUUGGAGAUUUGUCCUUUGCUGAGGGUGAAACACAGGGGAGUUUGGUAAGAAAAGUGGAGAGAAACAUUCUGAUAAUGUUAACUAUGGGGACAAUGUGAGUAUGAGCCACCUCCACAAGAUUGAGAGCGAGAGAAACAAGGGAGAUAUAAUCAGAACUAAAAAUACAUCCCAGCUAGGAGGGAGGUGCAUCUUGCAGCAGUCAGAUGCACAAUGACCACCUUAGGGCUGCAGCUGCUCAUCACUCCCAGAUUAGAAAAGCAGCUAUCAGCAAAGCACACUGAAAAAAUGCUCUACGAAAGGGGGAACCUAGACUGCAGCGUUCAUUGGUGACCAGACAUUUACCGGAAAGGGUUGAAUUCCCACUUUUCUGAGGGCCAAGGAUGUGGAG